rnacentral:sRNA from 1 species
GAUUGUGUCUGGGGUGGGGUGGAGCAUGGAGGCUAUGUCUAGGAACUAGGCACACCUAACCACUGAAAAGUUGGUGUGCCAUGUGUUAUAACAAUGUCUAUUUCCUUAUCAGAUUGCUUACUCAGACACCAGCCCAUUCUUGAUCCUUUCUGAGGCGUCGCUGGCGGAUCUCAACUCCAGGCUAGAGAAGAAAGUUAAAGCAACCAACUUCAGGCCCAAUAUUGUAAUUUCAGGAUGCGAUGUCUAUGCAGAGGUAACGCUAUGCCCCUUUGGAUCUUUCCUUGGAUUUGACUUCUUUUUUAAGGAUUCUUGGGAUGAGCUUCUUAUUGGUGACGUGGAACUGAAA